AUGGCCACCACUCAAGAGGCGGAGAAGACGAGCGUCGUCGAGGCCGUGGAGGAGGCUUCCCCGGCGGCGGCUGCGGCGCCGGCGGAGGAGAAGACGAGCGUCAAGGCCGUGCAGGAGCCUUCCCCGGCGGCUGCGGCGCCGGCGGAGGAGAAGACAAGCGUUAAGGCCGAGGAGGAGCCUUCCCCGGCGGCUGCGGCAGCGGAGGGGCAGCGGCGGCCGCCUGCGGCUACGGCGGCGCGCAGGGCGGGUGCUCCGGCCAGCCCAUUCGACUUCUCCACCAUGAUGAACUUGCUCAACGACCCGAGCAUCAAGGAGAUGGCGGAGCAGAUCGCCAAGGACCCGUCCUUCAGCGAGAUGGCGGAGCAGCUGCAGAAGACGGUGGCGCCGGCGCCGGCGCGCUCGCCGCAGGAGGUGGCGGCCGCGCUGGACCCGCAGAAGUACGUGUCGACGAUGCAGCAGCUGAUGCAGAACCCGCAGUUCGUGGCCAUGGCGGAGCGGCUGGGCAGCGCGCUGAUGCAGGACCCGGCCAUGUCCUCCGUCCUGGGCGGCCUCACCAACCCCGCCCACAAGGAGCAGCUCCAGGCCCGCGUCGCCCGCAUGAAGGACGACCCCUCCCUCAAGCCCAUCCUCGACGAGAUCGAGUCCGGCGGCCCCGCCGCCAUGAUGAAGUACUGGAACGACCCGGAGGCGCUGCAGAAGUUCGGCCGCGCGAUGGGCGUGGGCCCGUCGGGCGCCGCCGCCGGAGCUGAAGCCGAGGCAGAGGAGGAGGAAGAGGUUGCUGCCGGCGAGGAAGGGGAGUACGAGGAGGAGUCUAUCAUCCACCAGACGGCGAGCGUGGGCGACGUGGAGGGGCUGAAGAAGGCGCUGGCGGAGGGCGUGGACAAGGACGAGGAGGACUCGGAGGGGCGGCGGGGGCUGCACUUCGCGUGCGGCUACGGCGAGCUCGGGUGCGCGCAGGCGCUGCUGGAGGCCGGCGCCGCCGCGGACGCCGUGGACAAGAACAAGAACACCGCGCUCCACUACGCCGCCGGCUACGGCCGCCAGGAGUGCGUCGCGCUGCUCGUCGACCACGGCGCCUCCGUGACGCUGCAGAACCUGGACGGGAAGACGGCCAUCGACGUGGCGAGGCUCAACAGCCAGGAGGAGGUGCUCAAGCUGCUGGAGAAGCACGCCUACGUCUAG
rnacentral:rRNA from 1 species